rnacentral:rRNA from 1 species
GACGAACGCUGGCGGCGUGCUUAACACAUGCAAGUCGAACGGAAAGGCCCUGCUUUUGUGGGGUGCUCGAGUGGCGCACGGGUGAGUAACGCGUGAGUAACCUGCCCUUGACUUUGGGAUAACUUCAGGAAACUGGGGCUAAUACCGGAUAGGAGCUCCUGCUGCAUGGUGGGGGUUGGAAAGUUUCGGCGGUUGGGGAUCGACUCGCGGCUUAUCAGCUUGUUGGGGGGGUAGUGGCUUACCAAGGCUUUGACGGGUAGCCGGCCUGGGAGGGUGACCGGCGACAUGGGGACUGAGAGACGGCCCAGACUCCUACGGGAGGCAGCAGUGGGGAAUAUUGCACAAUGGGCGGAAGCCUGAGGCAGCAACGCUGCGUUCGUGAUGACGGCUUUCGGGGGGUAAACCGCUGUCGCCGGUGACGAAGCGGUAGUGACGGUAAUGGGUAAAAAAGCAACGGCUAACUACGUG